rnacentral:rRNA from 1 species
GAUGAACGCUGGCGGCGUGCCUAAUACAUGCAAGUCGAGCGAACGGACGAGAAGCUUGCUUCUCUGAUGUUAGCGGCGGACGGGUGAGUAACACGUGGAUAACCUACCUAUAAGACUGGGAUAACUUCGGGAAACCGGAGCUAAUACCGGAUAAUAUUUUGAACCGCAUGGUUCAAAAGUGAAAGACGGUCUUGCUGUCACUUAUAGAUGGAUCCGCGCUGCAUUAGCUAGUUGGUAAGGUAACGGCUUACCAAGGCAACGAUGCAUAGCCGACCUGAGAGGGUGAUCGGCCACACUGGAACUGAGACACGGUCCAGACUCCUACGGGAGGCAGCAGUAGGGAAUCUUCCGCAAUGGGCGAAAGCCUGACGGAGCAACGCCGCGUGAGUGAUGAAGGUCUUCGGAUCGUAAAACUCUGUUAUUAGGGAAGAACAUAUGUGUAAGUAACUGUGCACAUCUUGACGGUACCUAAUCAGAAAGCCACGGCUAACUACGUGCCAGCAGCCGCGGUAAUACGUAGGUGGCAAGCGUUAUCCGGAAUUAUUGGGCGUAAAGCGCGCGUAGGGCGGUUUUUUAAGUCUGAUGUGAAAGCCCACGGCUCAACCGUGGAGGGUCAUUGGAAACUGGAAAACUUGAGUGCAGAAGAGGAAAGUGGAAUUCCAUGUGUAGCGGUGAAAUGCGCAGAGAUAUGGAGGAACACCAGUGGCGAAGGCGACUUUCUGGUCUGUAACUGACGCUGAUGUGCGAAAGCGUGGGGAUCAAACAGGAUUAGAUACCCUGGUAGUCCACGCCGUAAACGAUGAGUGCUAAGUGUUAGGGGGUUUCCGCCCCUUAGUGCGGCAGCUAACGCAUUAAGCACUCCGCCUGGGGAGUACGACCGCAAGGUUGAAACUCAAAGGAAUUGACGGGGACCCGCACAAGCGGUGGAGCAUGUGGUUUAAUUCGAAGCAACGCGAAGAACCUUACCAAAUCUUGACAUCCUUUGACAACUCUAGAGAUAGAGCCUUCCCCUUCGGGGGGGCAAAGUGACAGGUGGUGCAUGGUUGUCGUCAGCUCGUGUCGUGAGAUGUUGGGUUAAGUCCCGCAACGAGCGCAACCCUUAAGCUUAGUUGCCAUCAUUAAGUUGGGCACUCUAAGUUGACUGCCGGUGACAAACCGGAGGAAGGUGGGGAUGACGUCAAAUCAUCAUGCCCCUUAUGACUUGGGCUACACACGUGCUACAAUGGACAAUACAAAGGGCAGCGAAACCGCGAGGUCAAGCAAAUCCCAUAAAGUUGUUCUCAGUUCGGAUUGUAGUCUGCAACUCGACUACAUGAAGCUGGAAUCGCUAGUAAUCGUAGAUCAGCAUGCUACGGUGAAUACGUUCCCGGGUCU